rnacentral:sRNA from 1 species
AUCUUUGAGGGGCCACAAAAAAGCCCCAUUGAAUAACCGCCGAACACAGCUAAGUUAAUG